rnacentral:rRNA from 1 species
CAGCCGCCGCGGGAAUACAGAGGGUGCGAGCGUUAAUCGGAUUUACUGGGCGUAAAGCGUGCGUAGGCGGCUUCUUAAGUCGGAUGUGAAAUCCCUGAGCUUAACUUAGGAAUUGCAUUCGAUACUGGGAAGCUAGAGUAUGGGAGAGGAUGGAAGAAUUCCAGGUGUAGCGGUGAAAUGCGUAGAGAUCUGGAGGAAUACCGAUGGCGAAGGCAGCCAUCUGGCCUAAUACUGACGCUGAGGUACGAAAGCAUGGGGAGCAAACAGGAUUAGAUACCCCGGUAGUCCCUGUCUCUUAUAC